rnacentral:hammerhead_ribozyme from 1 species
ACACAGCUGACGAGUCUCAAAUAGAACGAAACGCACGUCCUGGAU